rnacentral:rRNA from 1 species
UACGGAGGGGGCUAGCGUUGUUCGGAAUUACUGGGCGUAAAGCGUGCGCAGGCGGCUUCUCAAGUCAGGGGUGAAAGCCCAGAGCUCAACUCUGGAAUUGCCUUUGAUACUGGAGGGCUGGAGACAGGUAGAGGCAAGCGGAAUUCCGGGGUGUAGCGGUGGAAUGCGUAGAUAUCCGGAAGAACACCGGAGGCGAAGGCGGCUUGCUGGACCUGGUCUGACGCUGAGGCGCGAAAGCGUGGGGAGCGAACAGG